AAGGAUUUAGUUUAUGAAAAAUAUUAGAUUGUAAAUCUAAAGUUUAAAUUCUUGA
rnacentral:tRNA from 1 species